rnacentral:rRNA from 1 species
CGCCUCUUGACCCACCCAUACGAGGUCCAGCCUGCCCAGUGACUCUGUUCAACGGCCGCGGUAUUUUAACCGUGCGAAGGUAGCGUAAUCACUUGUCUUCUAAAUAAAGACUAGUAUGAAAGGCAUCACGAAGAUCAAACUGUCUCCUUUUUCCGAUCAGUGAACCUAAUCUUCCCGUGAAGAAGCGGGAAUAAAAAUAUAAGACGAGAAGACCCUGUGGAGCUUAAAACAUUAAAACACCUGCCCCCCCCUCCAAAUUACCCCGGUACUUCACCUGACGGGCACUUUGACUACAUGUUUUUGGUUGGGGUGACCGUGGAGAAAAAUCUAUCCUCCAUAACGAGAGGACUUCCUCAAGCAAUAAGUCACAACUUUACGCAUCAGUAAUCCUGACAUGUCGACCCAAUAAUUGAUCAAUGAACCAAGUUACCCCAGGGAUAACAGCACAAUCCACUUUAAGAGCUCCUAUCGACAAGUGGGCUUAUGACCUCGAUGUUGGAUCGGGGUAUCCUAGUGGUGCAGUCGCUACUAAGGGUUCGUUUGUUCAACGAUUAAAACCCC